rnacentral:rRNA from 1 species
UACGUAGGGUGCGAGCGUUAAUCGGAAUUACUGGGCGUAAAGCGUGCGCAGGCGGUUUGCUAAGACCGAUGUGAAAUCCCCGGGCUUAACCUGGGAACUGCAUUGGUGACUGGCAGGCUAGAGUAUGGCAGAGGGGGGGUAGAAUUCCACGUGUAGCAGUGAAAUGCGUAGAGAUGUGGAGGAAUACCGAUGGCGAAGGCAGCCCCCUGGGCCCAAUACUGACGCUCAUGCACGAAAGCGUGGGGAGCAAACAGG